rnacentral:ncRNA from 1 species
UGAAGAUUUGGUCCUAAUCUCACUAUUAAUUACCAUUAUAUUUAUACAUGCAAGUAUCUGCACCCCAGUGAAAAUGCCCUAAACUUAUUAGAAUAAACUAAGGAGCUGAUAUCAGGCGAAUGCCCAUAACAUCUUGCUAUGCCACACCCAUAAGGGGAUCCAGCAGUAAUAAACAUUGAAAAAUAAGCGAAAGCUUGAACCAGUAAUAAUUUAAAGAGUCGGUAAAUCUCGUGCCAGCCACCGCGGUUAUACGAGAAACCCAAAUUAAUACACCACGGCCCAAAGGGUGGUUAAAUGAAAUUUAUAUUAUAGUUUUAAAAAUUAACUAAGCUGUUAUACGCAACAGUUAAAUCUAAAACCAAAAACGAAAGUAAGACUAAUUAAAAAAAUAUAUUGAAGCCACGACAGCUAUGAGACAAACUGGGAUUAGAUACCCCACUAUGCCUAGCUAUAAACUUUGAAUACUCCGCCAGAGCACUACGAGCAACAGCUUAAAACUCAAAGGAUUUGGCGGUGCUCUACACCCACCUAGAGGAGCCUGUUCUAUAAUUGAUACUCCCCAAUAAACCUCACCACUUAUUGCAAUUCAGCCUAUAUACCGCCGCCGUCAGCUUACCUCUUAAGAGAAAACAAGUAGGCUAAAUGAUAAACAUAAAAACGUCAGGUCAAGGUGUAGCAUAUAAAGUGGGAAGAAAUGGGCUACAUUUUCUAUAAGAAAAUACGAAUAACUUAAUGAAACAAAUUUGAAGGAGGAUUUAGCAGUAAAAAGAAAAUAGAGAGUUCUUUUUAAAAAGGCUAUAGAGCGCGCACACACCGCCCGUCACCCUCUUUAACACAACACUUAAGUAAUUAACAAAAACUUUAAAGAAAGAAGAGGAAAGUCGUAACACGGUAAGUUUACCGGAAGGUGAACUUGGAUUCAA